ensembl:lncRNA
CUACUUCUCUGUAGUGACCAGCAGGGGGCGACUCCUCUGCUCCCAUAGACGUCUAUGAGGAAAUGACUCUACUUCUCUGUAGUGACCAGCAGGGGGCGACUCCUCUGCUCCCAUAGACGUCUAUGAGGAAAUGACUCUACUUCUCUCUUGAUUUAUUCCCUCAGUAAACAUUGUAAACAUGAGUUUAUGGUCUCAGUCUCUAGUUUAAGUCUUCUUCAACACAACAUGAUGUUCAUUUAGUGACUGAUGGUCCAUGUAGAGUCAAACAGACCAUAAAGCAGAGGACGCUUUAGGACAGGUCUCUAGCAGAGACGUAUACGCCGUCUCUACGUCAUUCUCACUUCACAAGACAUCCACAAACCGAUGGAACCAGAGAGCUUAGAUGUGAUAAUAAAAGUCUUGUGUGUCAUUUUCAGCGUAGCAUAGCAUGUGGCGCUGCCACAGCAGAGCCACAUGCUUCUGAAGGUGAACGUGAAGCACGAAGACAUGAAUCCUCAUCAGCUUACUGCUGUCAGCAGAUGCAUGAUGGGAAAUCCCCCAUCUCAGCCCUUCCUGGACCUCUUCCGAGGAGCUCUACAGGGGUCUGUAAUUGGUUACCAGUAUCAGGAGGAGGAGCACGUCCUCGCUGCCUGUGAAGGCUGAAUGUUUACAGACCUCCAUCAGGGAGCGCUGCCAUCCUCCAUCAGCCCCUUAAUGUGGAGGGAAUCUCCCCAAGCACUGCAGACACGCUUUAAUUCUGACUCAUGGACGUUGUCUUGUCUGUGAAGACGACAGUGGCGCAGUGGUAGAGAGGGAGUGCCGGGAACCGCAAGGUUGGCGGUUCAAGCCCCAGCUGCUCCACGUCCAGUGUCCAAGUGUCCCUGAGCAAGACACCUACUUUCUCCCCGGGGGUUAAAAAUGUAAUGUAAGUCGCUUUGGAUAAAAGCGUCAGCUAAAUGACCUGUAAUCAUUAAAACAUGUGUCACGCUUAGGAGGGUACCUGAGCAGGUAGUACACAGCGUACCUGAGCAGGUAGUACACAGCGUACCUGAGCAGGUAGUACAGAGCGUACCUGAGCAGGUAGUACACAGCAUACCUGAGCAGGUAGUACAGAGCGUACCUGAGCAGGUAGUACACAGCAUACCUGAGCAGGUAGUACAGAGCGUACCUGAGCAGGUAGUACAGAGCGUACCUGAGCAGGUAGUACACAACGUACCUGAGCAGGUAGUACAGAGCGUACCUGAGCAGGUAGUACACAACGUACCUGAGCAGGUAGUAUACAGAGCGUACCUGAGCAGGUAGUACACAGCAUACCUGAGCAGGUAGUACAGAGCGUACCUGAGCAGGUAGUACACAGCGUACCUAAUCCUUGAGUGGACCAUCUGCUCAUUGGUCCUGAGAGCAUCCUCCUCGUGUCAGUAGCAGGUUAAACGAUGACUCAGACAGGUGUGUGUUUGUACCUCAGUGUUCCUCAGUAUGCAAAUAUGUGAGCGUGUGAAUGAUUCAGAGAUGUCAAGUGAGCUCAUGAAUAUUAAGCAGGACGCUUGUUGAGCUGUGAAUAUUGCAUGGAGAGUGAAAGUGAGCAGAGACAGGAGCUGGUUGGCUGUGAGAGGACAUUAGAUAACCCAUGGACGUACUUUGAGAAAAACAUUGAUUGAUAGAAAUCAGUAUAAUUAGAAAUCUGCGUCUGUGAAGAAGAAGCUUCUGUAGAGCUGAAUAGAUGCUGCAAAGAAAACAGACGUCUGUGAUGGAACAUUAAGUCCACACACACACACACAUAGUGAGCCACAGAGCUGCAGGUGGUUGAGUCUGUUUGGGUUUAAAGUAUCUGUCUGCUGAGGCUCAUUAGACAUGUGACUCUAUCAGGAUGAAGACAGUAAGUGUGUGUGUUUUUCUGUGUUCUUCCGUCUGACUGGAGAAUGUGCUGCGUGUUUCUGUCCAACCGUCGUUUUUGUGUGUCAGGAAUCAGGAAUCAGGAAACAUUUAUUGCCAAAAUAUGUCAAACAUACAAGGAAUUUGUCUUGGCGGUUGGUGCGUGACAGUAGACAGUGUAACAAUAGACAACAAGACAGCAGUGCACAAGUAAUAAAAUGAAGUAAAAUGAAGUGAAAUGAAGUAUAUAAAACAAGUAUAAAACAAGAAUAAAGUUAAAGUUAAAAAUUUAAAAUAUUAAAAAAGUUAAAAAAUAUUAAGCAUAAAGUGCACUAGCGAACAAGUAGCAAAGUGACGAGUGACGACAAAGUGAGAAAUGACAGUUAAAGUGACAUGUGCAGUGUGAAGGGGAGUGACCGGUGGAGUGUUAGAGUCAGUCAGUGGGGGACCGGCUCUGUUGAUGAGCCCGACUGCUGACGGGAAGAAACUGUUGGUGUGGCGGGAGGUCUUAGUCCUGAUGGACCUCAGCCUCCUGCCAGAUGGAAGGGGCACAGACAGGUUUUGUCCGGGGUGAGAGGGGUCGGCUACCAUCUUUUUAGCUGCUUCAGAGACCUGGAAGUGAACAAGUCCUGCAGGGACGGCAGAUUGGAGCCGAUCACCCUCUCUGCAGAGCGGAGGACACGCUGCAGCCUGCCCUUGUCCUUGGCUGUGGCUGCAGCGUACCAGACGCUGAUGGAGGAGCAGAGGAUGGACUCCAUGAUGGCCGUGUAGAAGUGGACCAUCAUCGUCUUUGGCAGGUUGAAUUUGUUCAGCUGCCUCAGGAAGAACAACCUCUGCUGAGCCUUCUUGGUGAUGGAGCUGAUGUUCAGCUCCCACUUGAGGUCCUGGGUGAUGAUGGAGCCCAGGAAACGGAAGGAAUCCACAAUAGUGAUGGGGGAGUCACACAGGGUGAUGGGGGAGGGUGGGGCUCUGCUCCUCCUGAAGUCCACAACCAUCUCCAGCGUUGAGCUCCAGGUUGUUCUGACUGCACCAGGACACCAGAUGGUCAGACUCCACCUGUAGGCGGACUCGUCCCCACCAGAGAUCAGUCCAAUGAGGGUGGUGUCAUCCGCAAACUUCAGGAGCUUGACGGACUGGUGACUGGAGGUGCAGCUGUUGGUGUACAGGGAGAAGAGCAGAGGGGAAAGAACGCAGCCUUGGGGGGAACCGGUGCUGAUGGUCCGAGAGCCUCAGACAUGUUUCCCCAGAUUCUCUCUAGAACGAUUCGGUCUCGAUUCAGAAAAGUUAAUAAUCGGAAUUUUAAAAAAAAGUCUGUCUCGCGCGAGAUAUUUGCUCCCUCGCGGAGCGUGAACUUUCUCGCUCGCGAGGUGAAUCUCUGCUCGCGCUCGAAGGUGUUUUCUACGCGCUCGCUGUUGUUCGUUUUGACAGUAAGGGGGCGGAGCCAGUCACCAUGGUCUCUACACCUGAAGCCCAUUUCCGCACUAAAGAAAGGGGAUAGAAAGUUGAGAUUAUGAGAUAAAACGUUGUGAAAAAACAAACGCCCCCCUUCGGUAACCGUAGUGGAGAUGACAACCAGCUACAAGCAUCAUUUACCAUCAUUACCGGCACAUUAAGAGCAAUGCGUCCAGCUCGCAGACCGGUCCGUCAGUCUGAAUCUGAAUAUCUAAUAACUUUACUGAACUAUGGAGGAGCCUGCGCAUAUCUUACCUCAUUAUUUCCAUUUUACAAAAAGUCGAUCCGCAUUGAAAGUUGGCAAGAUAUUCACAGAUUUGGA